GACGAACGCUGGCGGCGUGCCUAAUACAUGCAAGUAGAACGCUGAAGAGAGGAGCUUGCUCUUCUUGGAUGAGUUGCGAACGGGUGAGUAACGCGUAGGUAACCUGCCUUGUAGCGGGGGAUAACUAUUGGAAACGAUAGCUAAUACCGCAUAACAAUGGAUGACACAUGUCAUUUAUUUGAAAGGGGCAAUUGCUCCACUACAAGAUGGACCUGCGUUGUAUUAGCUAGUAGGUGAGGUAAUGGCUCACCUAGGCGACGAUACAUAGCCGACCUGAGAGGGUGAUCGGCCACACUGGGACUGAGACACGGCCCAGACUCCUACGGGAGGCAGCAGUAGGGAAUCUUCGGCAAUGGGGGCAACCCUGACCGAGCAACGCCGCGUGAGUGAAGAAGGUUUUCGGAUCGUAAAGCUCUGUUGUAAGUCAAGAACGGGUGUGAGAGUGGAAAGUUCACACUGUGACGUUAGCUUACCAGAAAGGGACGGCUAACUACGUG
rnacentral:rRNA from 1 species